rnacentral:lncRNA from 11 species
CUGUGGCUUGCUUCUGUAUGUUUCACAAUACUGGGUGGCUUUUUAAAGAUAUGAUUGCAUACAGUAGAAGCACCUCCCAGAAAUUUUCUCUCUAGACUUGAGAGGAAAUAAACAAGGUUAAAAGGAGAAAAGGACAUAAAAAUAACCUCCUUGGGGAACAAUGGCAAUUUACAUCCACCAGCUCUUCCUCAUGGCUGCUGAUUUAACGCUGGCCUCCGCCGUCUCCUGUGCUCUGUAUGGACUAGCCUGUGUAUCUGUUGCCAGUCUUGUGGGUUUGCUGUUCUUCCUGCUUUCUGUUGGUGCUAUAAAGUGUGUGAAGAGGACCAUUGCCCGAAAAGUCAAUACCAUCCAGACCUUGGUUUCUAAAAGCACCCUAGGAAGUUUGCUUUUGAGGAAACGAGACCAAACGGGGCUCGGAGAAUUGGCAGUGGCCCAUGCCCCUGAGAAAGGCAGGGAUUUUGAACUGGAAAAGGAGUGUUCUUCAAACAUGGAAGUGGCACAACUGCAAGAGACGAAGGAGAAAUGUCAGAAGGCAAGGCACACCCUGACUGAAAGACCGCUCUCUCUGAAAGGAGUCUCUGAUGGGAUGAAGAAACCUUCAGUCAUAACGAAAGAGGAGACCAAGACACCAAAUGAAUAUGAAAGAAAAUAUAUUUCUCAUAAACAGAAGACUGGCUUCCGGUCUCUGACGGUCUUCAUUGCCCUUCUCUGGACUCCAGUUGAAAUAAUGUGCCCAUGUCUGAAGAAGAGAAUUUAUCAGUUUCUUGAUGCACUGCAGAAAUCAGAAGACUGACAGGUUUAGGCCUCUGCCAGAAUGUCAAGAUGGUAAGAUGAUCCCUUGAUUGCACAGAGAGCCUGCAACGUAGUUUUCCACUCUGGUUGAUAUGAAGAUAUGUCAAAAUGUUCCCUGCAGGAAUAAGUGGUCUAAGAUGAAAGGAAGUCAUGAAGGAAAAGCCUGCUGAAAGGUAACUAGAGAUUAAUCUUUCAGCACCCAUGGAAAUUUGGAUGAACUAAAGAAUGAUUUUUCUGCUCUCACGCCAAAAUGUAGAAUUUCUCAAUGACCUUUUCUUCAAGUGAAGAUGCAGAUUAAUUCACCAGAGCAUCCAUUCCCUAAGAAGGAAGGCCUUCUCGGAAAUAAUUCCUUUCUGCCCUUACAGGCAGACAACACCUGAGGAUAUGCAGGGUCUAAGUAAUGCUAAUGAUUGUGGAAACUUCUUUUCACAUGAUUUUCCCAUGGGAUCCAUGAUGACAUGGCCACAAACAGAAGAAAACUGAAAAACACAGCUCAGGUCCUAAGGACAAGUUCCCAUUAGGCUUUUGCCUAUGGACAUUCGAUGUUCAGAACUGAACACUUUAAGAAGUCAUCUGAUCAGGGUUUUGUAAAAAUCUGGAAUAUACAAUUGUUUCCUUGUGGUUUUAUGUUUGUACUUAUGCUAACAAAUGCCCCACUGUUUUCUUACAUAUUUGCAAUAUCCUAUGGAUAAAAGGAAUAAAACAGUUUCAGGUACAAAAUUUCUUUUGGUAGUGUUCAGAAGCAAAUAGCUUUGAUAAUUUUCUAUUGAAUCAAUAGAAUGGAAUUACUAGGGAUUCUGAACACUUUGUACACUGUUACGUCUUGCAUGGCUUUUUAAAAAUUCACAUACGAACACAGCUUUCCUUUUCUCUUCCUACAAGUAGUCUAACUUCCAUUGGGAAGUUUCUCUCUUGCAUAAUUCUAUAUAGCCAUUUAAAUCAGGUCAUGAUGUGGAUUAAAGUGAUUUGGUUCCCUGCAGAGCACCUAAACAGGUACACCAGGAACCAGUUGAAUGCUGGGAUAGUGGUCAUAAAGAUCAGCUGAUUGUGAAUCUACGUGAAAGGAGGAAUAUCUUUUCUUACUUUGUCCCACAGGAUGAACUGAUGGGCAACAGCAAGUUUGAUUGGGAUCAAUGCUAGAGAAAGACAGGGCACAACAACAAAGGGAAAAUGCAAGUUCCCACGGAAAAGCUGUUGUUUACUUGGGGGAGAGGUUUGUUUACUUUCUGGGAGAGCUGUUUCUGGUUUCUUCCCCCCAAAACUUCAGCACUAGCCCUGUUCUAAUGACAGCUCCACAUUGUGGUCUGAGGUUUCAACUUUGCACACUGAUAGACUGAUGCUUAUUUUGUGGCUUUUUAUGGAAUUUCUGGUGAGUUUUUAAAAUAAACUGUUUCUUGCUGGAUGUGUUCUGUAGCACACAUUGGGGUGUAUCUCUUGUAGACACCUAACCUUCUAGAUGGUUUCACUCUAGAUGGUUUCACCCAUAGGCUUAAUCAACACUUGCAAAAUAAUUUGUUCUUACCUCAGCCACAGUGCUGUUGAAACAUAUAGUGUUCCACAAAGUGAAAGCAAUUAUUUUAGGCUUUAAUGCAAUGUAGGUGCCCCAAAUAAGGACUGGGGUAGAAUGGAUGUAUGUGAAGUGGUUGGAGGCAGGACAGAUUGGUAGGUAGUUAUCUAAAUCUGAAAAGCAUUGUGUUGCAAAUUUUUUUUUAAAAAAAAAUGUUCAGUGCAUAUUCAAGUAACCUAAGGCUUGCAGGACUUCUGAAAUGUUUGGUGUAUGCAUUAAUGGGUGAGAAGUAGGCAGUUUCUGAUGGGAUUGGUUCUCAAGGGUUUACCUCACUUACUAACUCAGACAGGAGGGGGGAAGCUGAUUGGGUGAGGCGAAUGAAGGGAAGAGAGUGGGAGAUGCAUACUACUCAAAUCAGUCAUUCACUCACUCACUCACUCAGACAAGACAGGUGAAGGAGAUUGAAAUAGAGGGAAAGGAGGGAGUAGAGCACCACCCACUAUUCUCAUUAUGCCAAUUGGUCAAUGUGUUGCUCACUCAUUCAUUUCGGUAGACGGGAGAUAAGGAUUGAUUGUAAAGGAAGAGUUAAAGGAUGGCAGAAUGGUGGGUGGUGCAUAUUCCCGUGAUGGGUCAGUCACUCAUUCCUUUGUUGUCAAAAACCAGUCCCCAAAUUGAUGAACCCCAUAGUCUGCUGCUCCAUAGGGAUUAAUUACGGGGCCUGCAUGGACUUCAAUCCUAGUUUUUGAGUUAUUAUCAUUAAGCCCCCUGGAAUGGUGCACACACGAUACCCUACACACCGCAGAGGAUGAUGACAUUUUAGUUAGCAUAAUCCUUUAACAAUGCCCCAGAAAGACACAGGGGAUACACAAUGGGCUUAUGCAAGAGUCUCUGGGUUGUUUCCUGUUUUUUGGAGAUAUGAACUGAUUUAUUCCUGAGAAGGCUUCCUCAUCCCUUUCCACCAAAUCAGACCCCUCCCUGAGAUGACCCACACACUGAGCAUUCUUUUGUUUACUGGACUGGUACUCAUUGCAUUAACUGGAGCUGAGAUAUCAAAACCCAUUGCAGCCCAUUAUCACUUGCUCUACCACAUUUCUUUUCAAUCUCACCCCUCUCCUAGGUGUGUCAAUAAAAGGACUCAAUCUUCAAAAUAAUUAAUUUACAGUUUAUUAAAGUUUCCCACCACAGUUGGAACCAACCAGCGACAAUGCCGGACAGAACCCCAGACCAACCAGGGAGCGGAUUCUAGUCAACCCUUUUGUGAAACAAUCAGAAACCAGUGUGGUAGUCUUGAAUAACUGUCAAAAUACAAUAAAUAAAUCUGUAUGUUCGCAAUUACAGUAUUUCAAUUCUUUGGAGCUAUGUCUCUGCUGACCUCCAUUUAGGCCACUGAGAAUAAAGUCUCUGAUUUUGUGUUUAACCCAUGUGUGUCUCAUCUGUCCUUCUGGAAGCUUGACAUGCCAGGCUCUGAACCCACAGUUCCUGCAGAAACUGGAACGACAUAACAUCUUCAUACACUUGGAUUGGAGAUGGUAAGGGAUUUGAACUGGAGAAGGGGAGGGGCAGCUGGUAUAUAUACCCACAAUUAGUCACUCACUCAGACAGGGAUGGGGGAAAUGAGAAAAGUGCUUCCAAACCCCUUCCUCCUGCCCUGCA